rnacentral:lncRNA from 1 species
UGUCUCCCUCCCAGGUCCCUCUCUCCCUCUACUUUCAAAGAUUAUUUUCUUCCCCCUUCUGAGUAGGACUGUAGCAUCUUCUUGGGUUUCAUAUGGUCUGUGAGUUGUAUCAUGGGUAUUUCAAGCUUUGCUUUUUUUUUUUUUUUUUUGGCUAAUAUCCACUAACCAGUGAGUACAUACCAUGUGUGUUCUUUUUUGACUUGGGUUAUCUCACUCAGGAUAGUUUCAAGAUCCCAACCAUUUGCCUGCAAAUUUCAUAAAGUCAUUAUUUUUAAUAGCUGAGUAGUACUCCAUUGUGUAAAUGUACCACAUUUUCUAUAUCCAUUCCUCUGUUGAGGGACAUUUGGGUUCUUUCCAGCUUCUGGCUAUUAUAAAUAAGGCUGCUAUGAACAUAGUGAAAUUCAACACAUUUUUAGCAUAAAGUAGUCUCUAAGUGUUUGUUGAAUGAGGUGGAAGCUCGUGGAUGUUUCUUUUAAAAGGACCCAUCCCUGUGCUAGUAGAAAUUUGUCAGUUUGCUUAAUGUUGUUACGAACUUUAGUUUUUCAAUAUUGAAUAUUAUGAAUUAAGAAAAAAUUUCAGUACAUUUUGUCAUGUGGAUUGUCAAGCUUUUUUUUAAUAGAAUGUAAAAGCUGAUCUGUUUUUCUUUUUUUCUUGCAAUCACAGGCCUUUCAUAAAACAUAAAAGAUCAAGACCCAUGUGAACUCAAAAAAUUUCUGCUGUGCAGAUAGAUGUUUAAAGGAACUCAGUUUUUACAUUGUAUAUGUUGUUAUGCCAGACAAAUAUACCAGAUGCUUAAAUUCUUAGACUGUAUCAAAGCCCAGCAUAAAUACAAACUUAUUAAGUGAUUGAAUUUUUUAGGAGGCAAAUGCUCUUUAUGAAAACUCAAAACACAUACAGUGAAUGCAUACUCAUAAAUCCAUACUUAUUUAUAUAUCCUCUCUCUUAAUUUUUAGGUGCUUUGCCCAGCCACAGUCUUCUGAAUUCUUCAAGCCAUGUACCAGUGUCUGCUGGCUCUCUAACUAAUCGAUCACCCAUAGGAUUUCCUGAUACCACUGAUUUUCUUACUAAGCCAAAUAUUAUUUUACAUAGAUCACUGGGCAGUGUAUCAAGUGCAGCAGAUUUCCAUCAGUACCUUAGGAACUCUGACAGCAAUCUGUGUAGCAGGUCAGUACCAUGGCCACUUUGUUUUUGUUUUAGAUCACAAGUUCUCUUAAAAGAAUUAGCAGUUUUCUGAUUCUGUAUUAUAAGUGGAGGAUAUAUUAAAAUUGUAUCCGUUGAUAUAUGUAGUAGUUUUAAAUAAAGCUUUUCUCAGUUUAAUGCUAUUAUUUCUCAGAUAAAUAAUUUCUUUCUGAGGUGAAAUACAGUGGUAUUUUACUCCUCAUAUCGUUUCAGUAAACAGAAUUAUUUAAUAUACACUACUUUGUGGUUAUGUUGCAGUCCUUUGUUGAUUUGGUCUUUUUAGAAAUACAGGGUUUUAACUUAGACACCACAAUUGACUUUCAAAUGUAUGUUAUUUCCUUUAAGGACACAGGAGUUUCCUAAAUAAUACCAUUCAGGUUCAUGCACAGAUUAACGUCUUAGGAUAUGUUACAGUUGAGAUCUCAUUUAAAAUUCAGGCAGAUUUCCUAGUUAUGUUUAGGUAAAAUAAAACAAAACUUCAUUUAUCAUAUAUACAUUUAUCUGUUUUAUUCUACUAGCUGUGGACACCAAAUACUCAAAUAUGUUUCAACAUGUGAACCCGAUGGUACAGACCACCCCAGUGAAAAAUCAGGUGAGAAUGCAUUAGUUGUAUGUAUUUUGAGUUCAAGGCUAGUUUUACAGUGCUUGUUUAAACAUCCAUUUCCCUAGUUUUACAUUUCUGGGUUUUUGUUUUCUGUGGUGAAAUGCAGGAGAGUACUCCACACUGAUGACAUCACAGCUCACACUUCCUCAUCUCCAUGGUGGGCAGUACAGUGGUUUUUACUUGUUCUCCAGGAUUAGUAAGAGUGACUAACGAGUGACAGGUGCUGGGCAUAUUUUUAAGAGCAAGAAAUGUGUUGUACAGAUGAAUAUAGUCUUUGGUUAUGGCUAGUUUUAAUAAAGAGUGGAAUUAGUAAUGUGGAAACCUGUACCACACAAUUUAUGUUUGAAAGGGAUUAUGUAGUUUUAAGGUAUUGAGAGAAAUGAUUAGUGUCAUUUGGAAGCAUUUGAUACCCUCAGACAAGAAAUGCUAUUGAUGAAAUUUUAGCUAUUCCAUAACUUAAAAAAAUUGUUAUGGAACGUAUAAGCUCUAAAAGGCUAUAUCUUAGGCAAAAGGGUAACAGAGAAAUAGGCUCUUGCCAAUCCUUUCUGGACUAUAAAAUUCACUUUUAAAUGUAUACAACUCAACAGGUUUUAAAAACAUAUUUAUUUAUUUGUUUGUUUGUUUAUGUAAUUUACAUAUGAUAAGGUUGUUUAAAAGAAGACUGACUAAUCUUUCACACACACUUCCCAAAACAACACAACCUUGCAGCUUACUCAUUUGACUUGUGUUACUCAAACACCACAUGGAGUCAUCACAAGAACAGGCAACAGACUGAUAUCUUUCAUAUGCAAAUCUAAAAAUGUCCCCUGUGGUCACAUGGGAUUCCAAAAUGCAAGAAUCAUGGGGUAUCCAAAGGUUAAUAAAUAAUAUAUACC